GACGAACGCUGGCGGCGUGCUUAACACAUGCAAGUCGAACGGUGAAGCAGGAGCUUGCUCUUGUGGAUCAGUGGCGAACGGGUGAGUAACACGUGAGUAACCUGCCCUUGACUCUGGGAUAAGCGUUGGAAACGACGUCUAAUACUGGAUAUGAACUGAGAUCGCAUGGUCAUCAGUUGGAAAGACUUUUUGGUCAAGGAUGGACUCGCGGCCUAUCAGCUUGUUGGUGAGGUAAUGGCUCACCAAGGCGACGACGGGUAGCCGGCCUGAGAGGGUGACCGGCCACACUGGGACUGAGACACGGCCCAGACUCCUACGGGAGGCAGCAGUGGGGAAUAUUGCACAAUGGGCGCAAGCCUGAUGCAGCAACGCCGCGUGAGGGAUGACGGCCUUCGGGUUGUAAACCUCUUUUAGUAGGGAAGAAGCGAAAGUGACGGUACCUGCAGAAAAAGCACCGGCUAACUACGUGCCAGCCGCCGCAGUAAGAC
rnacentral:rRNA from 1 species